UCUGAUUUUCCAUAUCAAUACUAAUUUAUAUAGUUGUGGUGUUUGUUUCUGUUUCCAGAUCCAGAAGCCAUAACACUCAACUUCACCGGCAAAGCCAUAACAUGUCGUGGAUGCUCCGACAACAACGAAAGUCGCAAGAAAGUUUAUGAUUUGGCUUUAUUUGAGUUGAUAUAUUUAUGUUGAUUCUUGCUACGGGAUGAUUUAUUGGGUUUACACCUAUUGGGUUCAAAUAUUGUUCUAUUUUGCAUCUACUCACUGACAGUUAUUAUUAGUAUUUGAAUUCUUCAAUUCGAGAUGCAAAAUCAGAGAUCUUCAUAAUAGGUUGGUGGCCUUUUAUGGGAAAAAAAAGCUAAAUUAAGGAAGUCUUUCGGUGAAAAUGUUGUCGGAUACUUUGCAUAUUCGGAAAAAGGAUUCAAGCAGCAUCUCUGUGUAUGAUUGAAUAGAAAAUGGAGUUUAGAAUCAGAAGCAUUGGAAUGAAAUAUAUUGUACCGAUGAAAACCAUCAUUGGAAUUAUAGUG